AGACGUCUACAUUAGAUACCCCUGUAGUCCCAGCCGUAAACUAUGCGCGUUAGGUGUAUCGGUGACCACGAGUUACCGAGGUGCCGAAGGGAAACCGUGAAACGUGCCGCCUGGGAAGUACGGUCGCAAGGCUAGAAACUUAAAGGAAUUGGCGGGGGAGCACAACAACGGGUGGAGCCUGCGGUUUAAUUGGACUCAACGCCGGACAACUCACCGGGAACGACAGCAAUUUGUAGGCCAGGCUGAAGACCUUGCCUGAAUCGCUG
rnacentral:rRNA from 1 species